GCAGCACGGGGGCAACCCUGGUGGCGAGUGGCGAACGGGUGAGUAAUGCAUCGGAACGUGUCCUCUUGUGGGGGAUAACCAGUCGAAAGAUUGGCUAAUACCGCAUGAGAUCGAGAGAUGAAAGCGGGGGACCGCAAGGCCUCGCGCGAGAGGAGCGGCCGAUGCCGGAUUAGCUAGUUGGUGGGGUAAAAGCCUACCAAGGCGACGAUCCGUAGCUGGUCUGAGAGGACGACCAGCCACACUGGGACUGAGACACGGCCCAGACUCCUACGGGAGGCAGCAGUGGGGAAUUUUGGACAAUGGGCGCAAGCCUGAUCCAGCCAUGCCGCGUGUGUGAAGAAGGCCUUCGGGUUGUAAAGCACUUUCGGACGGAACGAAAUCGCGCGGGUUAACAGCGCGCGUGGAUGACGGUACCGUAAGAAGAAGCACCGGCUAACUACGUGCCAGCAGCCGCGGUAAUACGUAGGGUGCGAGCGUUAAUCGGAAUUACUGGGCGUAAAGGGUGCGCAGGCGGCCCCGCAAGUCAGACGUGAAAUCCCCGGGCUUAACUUGGGAAUGGCGUUUGAAACUAUGGGGCUGGAGUGUGGCAGAGGGAGGUGGAAUUCCACGUGUAGCGGUGAAAUGCGUAGAGAUGUGGAGGAACACCGAUGGCGAAGGCAGCCUCCUGGGCCAACACUGACGCUCAUGCACGAAAGCGUGGGGAGCAAACA
rnacentral:rRNA from 1 species